AUCGCUUCUCGGCCUUUUGGCUAAGAUCAAGUGUAGUAUCAAUGUAAUGGGUUUCUUUUGUAAUCCUAUGUAUUUCAUUUUCUGCAUUUAAAAAUGGUUAAAUCCUU
ensembl:snRNA U2 U2 spliceosomal RNA